rnacentral:rRNA from 1 species
GAUCAUGGCUCAGGAUAAGAACGCUAGCUACAGGCUUAACACAUGCAAGUCGAGGGGCAGCAUGUUGGUUGCUUGCAACCAACGAUGGCGACCGGCGCACGGGUGAGUAACGCGUAUCCAACCUUCCGCAUACUCGGGAAUAGCCUUUCGAAAGAAAGAUUAAUGCCCGAUGGUUUCCCGAAUCCGCAUGAGAGCGGGAAUAAAGAUUCAUCGGUAUGCGAUGGGGAUGCGUCCCA